UGUUAUUUACAGUCAAUUCCCGAGAAGUUUGAGAGAAAACAUGGAAACGAUUUGUCAAAAUUAGUGCUUCUUAACGUUCCAAGUGGUGAAGCUUGGAAAGUUGCAUUAGCAAAGCUUUAAUGGUCAGGUUUUCUUUCAAGAUGGCCGGGAAAGAUUUUCAGAUUAUUACUUUAUUGACUAUGGUGAUUUUAUAGUUUUUGAGUCUGUGGGAACUGAUUCAGCUGAAGAUGAUGACAGCUCUUUUCACUUAAUUGAUGAAGUUUCUUCAGAUUCAGAAGAAACACAACUCGAUUCUUGAUUUUCAGCCUCGCAAGUCAGUGGAAAAUGAUUCAGCUAAAGCUGCUAAUGGAGCUCAGUUUAGCAGCAUGGAUAGGUAAUUAAUCAAGGGAAAGGUAAUAUUAGGUUUUUCUUCUAAAGAAAAUAUGAAGGUGUUGGAGGAAAGCAAGCUGGUAAGAAAAGGCAUCAAGGUGUGGUUCUUCUGAGAAACCAACCAUUGGCAGCAUGGAAAUGUUAAAGCACUAGACAGAAAUGGUGUUCCUGCUGAUAAUCCUUGUUUCAUUAUCCUAACGCUAGAAACUCGUCUGCCCCCGUGGUCUACUUGAGGACACCUUCAUGGUUUGGGAGAAAAUAGUUGACAGAAGAAGGUAAUGUCUCACUCUUACAGUUUUGAAUGAAGGAAGUUGGCCAGCUAAGUACCAUGUUUGUAAGACAUGCAAGGGAUCGGGAGUAAGAAUGAAAGAAGGCUGGGGCAGAGUCUUGGCAGUUGGUGGUAUCUCUUCCUUUCAUUUGCUCAAAGACAACAAGGUGGUGUUUCAAAUUUCAAUUUCCCGACCAGAUCAAAAAUAAACUAUUCGAAGCUUUGCCUCCUGAAAUUAUAUUACUGUGCCUGCUGAUUACAUAGGGUUAAUUUUAUUUGGACCAGGCACAUUUCAGCUUCGAUUUUCCACAGAUGCUACUGCAUUCUGAAGAGCUUGAGUUCUACGUUAUCUGCUUAAACUAUGUUUUAUUAUCUUAGAUUCUGUGUUGGGAUCCUUAGGGCUGUUGUAUAGGGUUUGUGACUUUUGUUCUCUAGCUGUAAGGUCUCUAGUUUUCAGUCCAGUGCACUUUUUGGAGUAUUUCUUUGUUGUAUGCUAUAGUAACCUUGCAGCCCUCUAAUUAGUUCAAGACUGGAUGUAACUUUCCCCUACUUAGCAAUAUGAUAUCUAUCUUAUGCUAAUCCAUUUAGCAAUGAAUGGCUUGAUUUUUCA